CCCGCCGCGACCGGCGCACGGGUGAGUAACACGUAUGCAACCUGGCCGCCACAGGGGGAUAACCCGCGGAAACGCGGCCUAAUACCCCGUGACGCCACCGGAGGGCAUCCUCCGGUGGCCAAAGGAGCGAUCCGGUGGCGGAUGGGCAUGCGGCGCAUUAGCUAGACGGCGGGGUGACGGCCCACCGUGGCGACGAUGCGUAGGGGUUCUGAGAGGAAGGCCCCCCACACUGGGACUGAGACACGGCCCAGACUCCUACGGGAGGCAGCAG
rnacentral:rRNA from 1 species